rfam:Dipodomys ordii contig_22943, whole genome shotgun sequence.
GGGAAUGUAGCUCAGUGGUAGAGUACUUGCCUUGCGUACAUGAGGCCCUAGGUUCAAUUCCUCAGUACCA